rnacentral:rRNA from 1 species
GGGCGAAGCUGAUCAGCCAUGCCGCGUGUGUGAAGAAGGUCUUCGGAUUGUAAAGCACUUUAAGUUGGGAGGAAGGGCAGUAAGUUAAUACCUUGCUGUUUUGACGUUACCAACAGAAUAAGCACCGGCUAACUUCGUGCCAGCAGCCGCGGUAANNG